rnacentral:rRNA from 1 species
AUGAACGCUGGCGGCGUGCCUAAUACAUGCAAGUCGAGCGAACGGACGAGAAGCUUGCUUCUCUGAUGUUAGCGGCGGACGGGUGAGUAACACGUGGAUAACCUACCUAUAAGACUGGGAUAACUUCGGGAAACCGUAGCUAAUACCGGAUAAUAUUUUGAACCGCAUGGUUCAAAAGUGAAAGACGGUCUUGCUGUCACUUAUAGAUGGAUCCGCGCUGCAUUAGCUAGUUGGUAAGGUAACGGCCUACCAAGGCAACGAUGCAUAGCCGACCUGAGAGGGUGAUCGGCCACACUGGAACUGAGACACGGUCCAGACUCCUACGGGAGGCAGCAGUAGGGAAUCUUCCGCAAUGGGCGAAAGCCUGACGGAGCAACGCCGCGUGAGUGAUGAAGGUCUUCGGAUCGUAAAACUCUGUUAUUAGGGAAGAACAUAUGUGUAAGUAACUGUGCACAUCUUGACGGUACCUAAUCAGAAAGCCACGGCUAACUACGUG